rnacentral:misc_RNA from 1 species
UUUCCGUAGGUGAACCUGCGGAAGGAUCAUUAAAAGAGAAUCAUUCUUGAAGAAAUUCGAGUAAUGAAUCCCAACCCUUGUUUAUACAAAAACAAAUUUGUUGCUUCGGCGAAGUUUGUCGAGAGAGAUGAUUAAAUUCGUCGUAUCUCUUCAAUUCGUCGCCAGAAGAAUUAAACCAAAACUCUUUUUUAAAACAUUCAUGUCUGAAAUACAAUUGAAUUGGAUUCUAAAUCCAAUACCAAAAAAAAUCAAUUACAACUUUCAACAACGGAUCUCUUGGUUCUGGCAUCGAUGAAGAACGCAGC